UCUGUUUGAUCCUGGCUCAGGAUGAACGCUAGCUACAGGCUUAACACAUGCAAGUCGAGGGGCAGCAUUGGAGUAGCAAUACUUCAGAUGGCGACCGGCGCACGGGUGAGUAACACGUAUCCAACCUGCCGCUUACUCGGGGAUAGCCUUUCGAAAGAAAGAUUAAUACCCGAUGGUAUAAAGAGUUCGCAUGUUCUCUUUAUUAAAGAAUUUCGGUAAGCGAUGGGGAUGCGUUCCAUUAGAUUGUUGGCGGGGUAACGGCCCACCAAGUCUACGAUGGAUAGGGGUUCUGAGAGGAAGGUCCCCCACAUUGGAACUGAGACACGGUCCAAACUCCUACGGGAGGCAGCAGUGAGGAAUAUUGGUCAAUGGGCGAGAGCCUGAACCAGCCAAGUAGCGUGAAGGAUGACUGCCCUAUGGGUUGUAAACUUCUUUUAUAAGGGAAUAAAGUGAGGGACGUGUCCCUUUUUGUAUGUACCUUAUGAAUAAGGAUCGGCUAACUCCGUGCCAGCAGCCGCGGUAAUACGGAGGAUCCAAGCGUUAUCCGGAUUUAUUGGGUUUAAAGGGAGCGUAGGUUGACAUAUAAGUCAGCUGUGAAAGUUUACGGCUCAACCGUGAAAUUGCAGUUGAUACUGUAUGUCUUGAGUGUACAAGAGGUGGGCGGAAUUCGUGGUGUAGCGGUGAAAUGCUUAGAUAUCACGAAGAACUCCAAUUGCGAAGGCAGCUCACUGGGGUACAACUGACACUGAGGCUCGAAAGUGUGGGUAUCAAACAGGAUUAGAUACCCUGGUAGUCCACACAGUAAACGAUGAAUACUCGCUGUUUGCGAUAUACAGUAAGCGGCCAAGCGAAAGCAUUAAGUAUUCCACCUGGGGAGUACGCCGGCAACGGUGAAACUCAAAGGAAUUGACGGGGGCCCGCACAAGCGGAGGAACAUGUGGUUUAA
rnacentral:rRNA from 1 species